GUCUACAUAGCAUUCUUGCGGUUUAUGGGUGAUGACAAUGAGGCAAAGAACUACAGCUACAGCCUUGAGGUGGGCGGGAAUGGAAGGAAGAUGAUAUGGCAAGGAGUGCCUAGGAGCAUAAGGGACAGCCAUCGGAAGGUUCGUGACAGUUUUGAUGGUCUCAUCAUUCAGCGCAAUAUGGCUCUUUUCUUCUCUGGUGGAGACCGGAAGGAAUUGAAACUUAGGGUGACUGGUAGGAUUUGGAAAGAGCAGUGAGGAGAUAUUUUUACGUUCUAUUCGAUAACCAGAGCAAGUAGAUUAGUUGUGUAGCAUCUCAAGUCUUAUCUGAUCAUGUAUUUUUUGAGCUGUAAGGAGGCAAACUCUUUUUGCUUCUCCAUGCAUCAAAUACAUGAGUGGAAGACGUAACUCUUAUGCCUGCAACUAUAGUAUUUAUCUUAAUAGAUUUAGAUAUGCUAUUCUCCGCUAACUUGAGUAGUUAUUGAUAGACCAC
rnacentral:misc_RNA from 1 species